rnacentral:misc_RNA from 1 species
GAUGAAGAACGCAGUGAAAUGCGAUAAGUAAUGUGAAUUGCAGAAUUCAGUGAAUCAUCGAGUCUUUGAACGCACAUUGCGCCCCUUGGUAUUCCGAGGGGCAUGCCUGUUCGAGCGUCAUUAUAACCCCUCAAGCUCAGCUUGGUGUUGGGGCCUGCUGCACUGGCAGCCCUUAAAAUCAGUGGCGGCGCCAUCUGGCUCUAAGCGUAGUAAUUCUUCUCGCUAUGGAGUCCUGGUGGAUGCUUGCCAUCAACCCCCAAUUUUUCUAUGGUUGACCUCGGAUCAGGUAGGGAUACCCGCUGAACUUAAGCAUAUCAAUAAGCGGAGGA